rnacentral:lncRNA from 1 species
UUGGCACAAGCAUUAUGUUUAUGGGAUCUUUUACUUGGGGUAAGUCUUUUGCCUCCACUCGAAGUAGUAAGUCCACACAUGGACUUACCCUAAGAGCAGUGUGUCUACUCCUGGUGUCUUAUGUCUUGCUUGUGCUGCAAUUCAGUGAACGAGAGGAAUAGCUGCUGCAGAAGCACGGAGUGUUACUUAAGGGCGAGGGGAGGGGUAUUGCUCAGCCUGUGAUCUUGUGCGAGAUCUUGUGGUCUUGCAGAACAGUGGCAGUAGGAACGCCUCUCUUGACCGAUAUGUGCAAAGUGACUCAAACCUCGCUGGCUGCCACUUGAACACAGGUUAUAAACGUUUGACUGAUAACAAAACUGAAAAGGAAGCAAUCCCCUGUUACUUUUAUUGAAGAAAGCCAGGGGAAGGAGUUUAAGGCCGCCGGGCUAAUUGACUUCAAUGGCGGUGAGGGGAAGAGAGUGCCUGCAGAAUGUGCUGGAGGAUGCAGUUACGAGCUGGGACAUUUUCUGCAGCCUGUGGGACUGAACGAAGUUUGGAGUGAAUAGAAACAGCAAGAAAUGAGGAUGUUUUCCCAUGGGCUUUAAGAAAAUGGUGCGUCCAGGCCUAAAUAGCAUCUCGGAUAUUUUUUAGAAGAGCUGGCUGGAGAAACAAACAAACAAACAAAAAACAGGAAAAAAAGGGACUUUGAGGAUGGCAGAAACCCUUCCUGAUGCAGCUUUUAGCCUCAAGUGCCUUAAGGACAAACUGUUCCCCAUCGGGGCCACCGUGCUCGUGACAGCGUUGGUGAUCACCGUCAUUGCCCUGGCGGGUAAGAGGAUGGAGAUGGCCCUACCA